rnacentral:sRNA from 1 species
AGGACUCGGCUGUCUACACAGAUGCUGCCCACAGGUCAUCGUUCAUAGUUCAUAGAAACAACGCAAGUUACAGUUUGAAAGGAACUUUGAGCGUGUCUGAUGCAUCGUGGGGCCUAGAACCGCUGCAGCAAGAGGCAGCUGUUACAAAGUCACAGAACCAUCGAGCUAUUCGCCGCCUCGAGGCGCCAGCUAUACACUACGGCAAUGACGCAAUCCUGGACAAGUUAGAAAGACCUGAACUGAUCCACUCCAAGAAACUGUAUAGACAUCCGGGUCACAGACAGAGGCGUGCCGUUACUAGACACGUCAUUGAAGUAGCUUUCAUUGUGGAUUAUGCAGA